UACGUAGGGGGCAAGCGUUGUCCGGAAUCAUUGGGCGUAAAGCGCGUGUAGGCGGCUUGGUAAGUCUGCUCUGAAAGCCCGGGGCUCAACCCCGGGAGGCGGGUGGAUACUGUCAAGCUCGAGUCCGGAAGAGGAGUGUGGAAUUCCUGGUGUAGCGGUGAAAUGCGUAGAGAUCGGGAGGAAUACCAGAGGCGAAGGCGGCGGACUGGACAGCAACUGACACUCAACUACGAAAGCGUGGGUAGCAAACAGG
rnacentral:rRNA from 1 species